rnacentral:sRNA from 1 species
GUGUACCACUCGUCCAUUGCGCCUCUGAGUGCGCCGGCGUGCCCACCCGACGACUGCUCGCUACGUUCGGUUGCC